GAUGAACGCUAGCGGCAGGCCUAAUACAUGCAAGUCGUACGGGAUAAGUUGUAGCAAUACGACUUUGAGAGUGGCGUACGGGUGCGUAACACGUAUGCAACCUACCUUUAACUGGGGGAUAGCCCGGAGAAAUUCGGAUUAAUACCCCAUAACAUAAUAACAGGGCAUCUUGUUAUUAUCAAAACUCCGGUGGUUAAAGAUGGGCAUGCGGCUGAUUAGCUAGUUGGUGAGGUAAUGGCUCACCAAGGCUACGAUCAGUAGGGGGUCUGAGAGGAUGUCCCCCCACACUGGUACUGAGACACGGACCAGACUCCUACGGGAGGUAGCAGUAGGGAAUAUUGGGCAAUGGACGAAAGUCUGACCCAGCCAUGCCGCGUGCAGGAUGACUGCCCUAUGGGUUGUAAACUGCUUUUAUACGGGAAGAAACCCCUGAACGUGUUCGGGGCUGACGGUACUGUAUGAAUAAGGAUCGGCUAACUUCGUG
rnacentral:rRNA from 1 species